rnacentral:lncRNA from 1 species
ACAGCAAAACCAACAGAAAUCAGAAUGGUCCACACUUCCUUCUGGGAAGAGGAACAAUGUCCAUAAAAGAUUUAAAAAAUAAUAAAGAAGCAUGACUAUUUCUUCCAGCGUGGGUGACCCACAAGCUCACAUGGUCCUAAGUGCUUAGCAACUUGUAUUUUCUAAUCAAAUGAAGAACUGCUUUGAGUGCGCAAAGCAAUCCAUGGUGAAAAGAUUUCCCUGAAUUCCUCAGUGGAAAGAAGAGGUGUUGAGAUUUUCAGAACUUGAAGGUAUGAAUUCAUUGCUGAACAUAACACGCACCUCUGGGACGCAGGACUUGAGGGAAGUAAUCUGGAACUGACUGAAGGUCCCUCUGCAUGGAAGAGCUUCCAGAGUAAGGGAGGGCUCUUUUCCUCGUGGAUGCCCAAGCUUGCAUGCUCUUACUAAAUUGUUGGGUCACUUCGGAAGCUACCGUAGACAUUCAAGCGAUCUGGAUGACAUCUUCUUUAGGGAAAAGGGAAAGCUAGUAUCUGCAGGGACAUUUGGGCCUAUGGUGGAGACAAAAUGCAAGAUGUACAAAGGGUAUAACACUAAAUGUCUUAAGAAAGUUCUUAUUAAGCAAGUUGAUGAUCAUCCAAGAGAACUGCAUUCUCAUUUACUUU